ncrna:unclassified sequences DTF3800-XI RNA
CGGGCUGGCCGCAAGGCCCUGGUCCACUGGGAGCCGGGGGAGCCCCCG